AUUAUUACAAGUUUGCUCUUUUUUCUUUUCCCUCUGCCCCUAGGCUAUGCCGACUCGGGGUACCUCUAUCUCUGGUCUCUGGGGUAGGGUGCUAUCUAUGGAGCUACGCCCUCGCCUUGCGCCGCCGCGCCGCUCACGUGCGAACCUGUAACACCCCAAAACAACGUGGGGUGAGAACCAACUCCAUGGUUCCCAGUGGGUACGGCCACCCAAGGGAAAAGCUCGACCAAUAGGUCUAAGGAGGCCCUGCAACAUGUUAGUCCAACAGAUAUCCAACAGAUAUAUAUAUUCAAGUAUUGAAAUACAUGUUGUGCCUCACAAUAUGCAAUAUGAAAUUCAUGCAGUUUAUGCAACCAUGCAACCAACUAGUAGUUCAAUCGAUACUACUUUUAUUCCUGUUAUUCACAGUUCAACCAAUUGACUUCUAAGUUUUCCUCUAUCUUAGAUUCUUGUCAAUUACAAUUCUGCUCAUAGGGUUUAACCUGCUUUUAUAAGCUAUCCACUCGACUCGGUCUUGAGUCAAUCACACGCGGAAUACCGCACAAAGCCAGGCUCAAGGUGAAGGAUGUCUCACAUGCACCUCAGCCCUAAAUCCACUCAACUGGGAUGCAACUAAAACUCAUACCAUGCAUCAAAUAGUAAAGGUUUACUAUCAUGCUAACGAAUUCGAUCCAUGUUCGAAUAAUAAUGUUCAAUGGCAUUGUUCACUGUUCUUUUACCCAAUCUGUAGCGAAGCCCUAGGGUUCGCCAAUAACUCACCUUUCAAUCCCAAAGUGGGGAGGGAGCUCCAAGUGCACCCAAGCCCGGGACCGUCUGCGGACCUCCAUGUGGUCCGGACCUCCAAGUGGUCCUAGUCGCACGACACUCCGGAGUACUCGACGACAAUCCCCUCCAUGUGGGGAUUGGAUGGCUAUACCAUCCCAAACGCAGACUGUGAGCUAGAUCUAUCCUCUCCAAGUGAGGAUACUCUACAACUAGGGUCCACAACCCAAUCAAAUCCUCUCCAAGUGAGGAUGCUCUACAACUAGAGUCAACAACCCAAUCAAAUCCUCUCCAAGUGAGGAUGCUCUACAACUAGAGUCAAUAUCUCAAUAACUCAUCGACAACCUCUCCAUGUGAGGGUACUUAGGUUUACUAAGUUCUUUAUCCACAAGGCAUUUUCUAAGGGAUUCACCUAUCCCUAGGUUCUCAAACCUCUAGUGUCAAAUACACUACAUUGAUGCCACUCAAUAUGUU
rnacentral:lncRNA from 1 species